rnacentral:rRNA from 1 species
GACGAACGCUGGCGGCGUGCUUAACACAUGCCAGUCGAACGGUGAACUCCGCUUGCGGGGGGAUCAGUGGCGAACGGGUGAGUAACACGUGGGCAACCUGCCCUCAGCUCUGGGAUAACUCCAAGAAAUUGGGGCUAAUACCGGAUAUGACCGCUGACCGCAUGGUCUGGUGGCGGAAAGAUUUAUCGGCUGGGGAUGGGCCCGCGGCCUAUCAGCUUGUUGGUGGGGUAGUGGCCUACCAAGGCGACGACGGGUAGCCGGCCUGAGAGGGUGACCGGCCACACUGGGACUGAGACACGGCCCAGACUCCUACGGGAGGCAGCAGUGGGGAAUAUUGCGCAAUGGGCGAAAGCCUGACGCAGCGACGCCGCGUGGGGGAUGACGGCCUUCGGGUUGUAAACCUCUUUCAGCAGGGACGAAGCGAAAGUGACGGUACCUGCAGAAGAAGCACCGGCCAACUACGUG